GGGAUUUGAUUGCAACCCGAUGGUAUUUGUGGCAGAUGAAAGUGGACUCUGGAGUUUCUUGAGAUUCCUCGAUGAACGGAAAUCAGCGUCUUCAAGUGCCAAAUAUGGUGGAUCACAGUUUUCGGAAGCAUUUGGGAAAUUCUAUGGUCAAUCAAAGUUUUCAGCCAGCAACAACGUUGAGCAGUCAAGAGGCGCUCAUGACAACUGUAUCAAUUGCAUAUUACCACUUGCAAAACAGAGAAAAUCUAGUGUCACCCGUUUCACCACUUCAGGACUUGACGGGAAGAUAGUGACAUGGGAUUUGCAGAAACAAGAAGAUUUAUUGGACUAUCUAUGAACCAUUUUUGAAUUGGCAUAUCAUAAUUCUGUCCAUCUGUAUGAUGUAAAAAGUUUUUCUUUGCUAAGACCUUUCUAAGGUAUAGUUGGAACAGCUGUAAAAUGAUUGAACAACUCAUGAAUUUGUUUAAACAUGACAUCUCAAAA
rnacentral:misc_RNA from 1 species